AGGAAAAGAAACUAACAAGGAUUCCCCUAGUAACUGCGAGUGAAGCGGGAAAAGCUCAAAUUUAAAAUCUGGUAGUCUUUGACUGUCCGAGUUGUAAUCUAGAGAAGUGUUAUCCGCGCUGGACCGUGUACAAGUCUCCUGGAAUGGAGCGUCACAGAGGGUGAGAAUCCCGUCUUUGACACGGACUGCCAGUGCUUUGUGAUGCGCUCUCAAAGAGUCGAGUUGUUUGGGAAUGCAGCUCAAAAUGGGUGGUAAAUUCCAUCUAAAGCUAAAUAUUGGCGAGAGACCGAUAGCGAACAAGUACCGUGAGGGAAAGAUGAAAAGAACUUUGGAAAGAGAGUUAAACAGUACGUGAAAUUGCUGAAAGGGAAACGCUUGAAGUCAGUCACAUUGUCUGAGAAUCAACCUUGCUUUUGCUGGGCGUACUUCUCAGAUGAUNNGGGUCAGCAUCAAUUUUGACCGUUGGAUAAAGUCUNGAGGAAUGUGGCAUCUUAGGAUGUGUUAUAGCCUUUAGUCGCAUACAACGGUUGGGAUUGAGGAACUCAGCACGCCGCAAGGCCGGGUUUCGACCACGUUCGUGCUUAGGAUGUUGGCAUAAUGGCUUUAAUCGACCCGUCUUGAAACACGGACCAAGGAGUCUAACAUGCCUGCGAGUAUUUGGGUGGAAAACCCGAGUGCGCAAUGAAAGUAAAAGUUGAGAU
rnacentral:rRNA from 1 species